rnacentral:rRNA from 1 species
GUGCAGCAGUCGAGAAACUUUACAAUGUGCGAAAGCACGAUAAGGGAACUCUGAGUGCCUCCUAAGGAGGCUGUUCAGGUGUCUAAAAAGCACCUGAAGGAAGGGCUGGGUAAGACCGGUGCCAGCCGCCGCGGUAACACCGGCAGCCCAAGUGGUAGCCACGUUUAUUGGGUCUAAAGCGUCCGUAGCCGGCUGGGUAAGUUCCUUGGGAAAUUUGGCUGCUUAACAGUCAAGCUUUCAGGGAAUACUGCCCGGCUUGGGACCGGGGAGAGGUCAGAGGUACUCCAGGGGUAGGGGUGAAAUCCAUCAAUCCUUGGGGGACCACCGGUAGCGAAGGCGUCUGACCAGACCGGGUCCGACGGUGAGGGACGAAGGCUAGGGGGCGCG